rnacentral:rRNA from 1 species
UUAGAUCUCAAAUCAGGCAGGAUUACCCGCUGAACUUAAGCAUA